UUCCAAAGUAUUGAGUUCAGUUCAAGGCAGCUUCCCUAUUCUGUUAACUAAACUUUGGGACACUGAAAUGGGCUACAGGAGAUGAUUGGUUAGAAACCAUUAUUCUGGGUGGUGGGCGCCUGUAGUCCCAGCUA
ensembl:snoRNA